GUGGGGAAUAUUGGGCAAUGGGGGAAACCCUGACCCAGCGACGCCGCGUGAGGGAAGAAGGCCUUAGGGUCGUAAACCUCUGUUGUGUGGGAAGAAGAGCGUGACGGUACCACACGAGGAAGUCCCGGCUAACUACGUGCCAGCAGCCGCGGUAAUACGUAGGGGACGAGCGUUGUCCGGAUUUACUGGGCGUAAAGGGCGCGUAGGCGGUCAUUUAAGUCAGCUGUGAAAUGGUGCGGCUUAACCGCAUCAUGCGGUUGAAACUGGAUGACUGGAGUGCUGGAGAGGCAAGUGGAAUUCCCAGUGUAGCGGUGAAAUGCGUAGAUAUUGGGAAGAACACCGGUGGCGAAGGCGACUUGCUGGCCAGCAACUGACGCUGAGGCGCGAAAGCCAGGGGAGCAAACGGGAUUAGAUACCCCUGUAGUCC
rnacentral:rRNA from 1 species